GAUGAACGCUGGCGGCGUGCCUAAUACAUGCAAGUCGAGCGAACGGACGAGAAGCUUGCUUCUCUGAUGUUAGCGGCGGACGGGUGAGUAACACGUGGAUAACCUACCUAUAAGACUGGGAUAACUUCGGGAAACCGUAGCUAAUACCGGAUAAUAUUUUGAACCGCAUGGUUCAAAAGUGAAAGACGGUCUUGCUGUCACUUAUAGAUGGAUCCGCGCUGCAUUAGCUAGUUGGUAAGGUAACGGCUUACCAAGGCAACGAUGCAUAGCCGACCUGAGAGGGUGAUCGGCCACACUGGAACUGAGACACGGUCCAGACUCCUACGGCAGGCAGCAGUAGGGAAUCUUCCGCAAUGGGCGAAAGCCUGACGGAGCAACGCCGCGUGAGUGAUGAAGGUCUUCGGAUCGUAAAACUCUGUUAUUAGGGAAGAACAUAUGUGUAAGUAACUGUGCACAUCUUGUCGGUACCUAAUCAGAAAGCCACGGCUAACUACGUG
rnacentral:rRNA from 1 species